rnacentral:rRNA from 1 species
CCUACGGGUGGCAGCAGUGAGGAAUAUUGGUCAAUGGACGCAAGUCUGAAGCAGCCAUGCCGCGUGCAGGAAGACGGCUCUAUGAGUUGUAAACAGCUUUUGUGCGAGGGCAAAUGCAGAUACGCGUAUCUGUCUGAAAGUAUCGUACGAACAAGGAUCGGCUAACUCCGUUCCAGCAGCCGCGGCAAGACGGAGGAGUCAAGCGUUAUCCGGAUUUAUUGGGUUUAAAGGGUGCGUAGGCGGUCGGGUAAGUUAGAGGUGAAAUCCAGAGGCUCAACUUGGGAAUUGCCUCUGAUACUGUGCGGCUAGAGAGUUGUAGCGGUAGGCGGAAUGUGUGGUGUAGCGGUGAAAUGCUUAGAGAUCG